rnacentral:lncRNA from 1 species
UGGCAAAGGCCCUGGCAGGAAGUUUACAGGGUUUAACGUAAACAAGUUCUGGGGGAUUCUUUAAUAAUAAUAAUAGAGAAUUCCGCGUGCGCAGGGCGGGAGGGGGGAGUUGGCCUAAUGCCCCUGUGGGCUCGGCCUGCCGCCGCCGCGGGGCCUCUGACACUGCGCGCCAGGCCAGGUUCCUGAGAGCAGACAGCGCGGGCUGGGAGCGCCGGCAAGGGCGGCCCUCGCGCACCUGGCUGCCAGCCCGCAGGGGGCUCGCACGCAGACCUGCCCUUGCCACCUCAGCGCUCGGGUGCGGGCUGGGGGCGGUGGAGCCACGAAAGGUGGUGCCGAGAGCGGAGCGCAGGACAGCGCAGGAGCCCCGGCGCAUCGCGGCGCGCACAGACCCAGGAUUUGUGAAGAGGUGACCCAAAUUUCAAGACAAUGUUGGAUGCAAACGGAUUUGCCAGCAACUGCAUCACUGUCAAAACCAGCUCUGCCCGUGUCUUCCGAAGAUACCAAGUGAAAUACAUGUAGAUGGGAUUUACAUCUGAAAAACCAAGUGAGAAACUGAAGACCAGAGAGGGUGAGUGGUUUACUCAGUUUGGCACAACUGACCCCAACCUAGCCCUCCAUGAGGACUGAGCGCAUGAGAGAUCCUGAGCCACAGCCGCCCAGCCCUGCUCCUCUCGAAUUUCUGACCUACAGGAACUGCAAGAAGUAAUGAAAGACUGCUGUUUAAAGCCACUGCAUUUUGGCAUGAUUUGUUAUGCAGUCGUAGAUAACCAGAAAACAUCGGAUUUACAUUUUAAGGAUUACUUCAUGCACAUAAAAGAAAACGCAACUACAGUGGACCCUGAACAACGUAGCUAUGGCCUGCAGCCACUGAAGAAUGCUUGCAUAAGGAGCUCUUCUCUGCACAUACCCCGACACAGUGAUGGUAUCUUGCAGCUGCUGCUUCUGUCCAAGGCACUGCAGCCUACUCGUCAAAAGCCCGAAGCCCAGCUCUGCCAGCAGUGCACUGUGUGCUCUUAGGAAACAGAGAAGCAAAGAAGUUAGCAAGCUUGUUUUGGCAGAAGAAAAAACACAAAAUACCCAACCACAGAUCCUCAAAAAUAUUGCUAAGCACUAAUUUUGCUAACAUGUUAGACAGCCUUCGGAUCUAGGCAAUCUUGUUCCUCAGCUGGAAAGAGUUCCUGCCAGCCAUGUGAUUCCAAAUCCACCCUGGACAUAUGGGGAUAAUGAGAAAAUCAGCUCCGGCCUUCCCUGGCCUUCCAGCCAAGUGAAUGGGGGCAUCCCCUGGUGCUUCAGCCCGGGGCCCACCCAGAGGAUGCUAGCUGGCCUGCAGAGGCCUCAACCAUGCCCUCCUGGACUCAGGUAAGACUGAGGUUUCCAUGCCCUCAAAACAAUUGUUCAGACAAAAACUCACUGCCCAGGUCAAAGUCACAGCACCAGAAAGCCAACCUGAGGAUGAAGACAAAGCUCUUUGUUGGCACAGUCCCCUGAUCAUUCGAGGUCAGCAUCUCCAUCAAAAUGGACCCAAUGCUGAGGCAAGAAGGAGAACAUCACUGUUAAGAAGGUAAUGAGUCACAAAUGCUAUUUCGAUGGUUUUCUUUGAAAGAAAUACACAGAACCAAACCAAUUUUAAUUAAAGAUCUUGUCUUUGUAAUCAGGCAGCCACAAAUGAAGGCAAAACUGCUUUCAUGUGGCAUAAUAUACACAGAGCUGAACUAGUUUUCCCAUAAAAGGGCAGGUUCUUUUCUUCAAAUAAGAAAAGAGUUUGUUCCUAACAAUAUGGGGGAUGCAACAGAAAGCUGUCUUUUGCAAAGUAUAAAAUUGCAGAUCCUCCCGUGGAAGCCAUUUCUUGAUGCUAAACCAAUGCGAACGUUUGCCAAACGCACAUGCGAGCCGGGAUUAUCCUACCCUUUGAGAUUAGACAUGUGAUCCUGAUUUUUAAGUGAAAAACGCAGCCAGAGGCCAAAUAAACAUACCUACAAGUACAUCGAAAGCUCAAAUGGUUGAGAAAUGAUUGUAACACACCCCGGUGUGUAUUUCUGAGGAAGAAUCAACAUGCACAUGGAAAUUGAUGUUUUGAUUUUUAAUUUUAAAACGACGACAGAACUGAAAUACCUCCCCUAACUAGGUCCACUGAAACCAGUGAGGAGAUAAUCAUUUUCAGUUAAAUAUGCAUGUAAUUUAAUAAUCCACAGAUGGAAAAUGCAUUUGAGGUGGACUGAACACAGCCAGGAGUUUUUGCUUAUCGACAGCACUGAAUCCUGCCUUGACUAGAGAGACUCGUCAUGUGAUCAACUGUGGCCAGAGGGCAUCCUGCAGACAGCUCCUGUCACACCACACUGACCAGACUCUUAUGAGUAUUUAAGCAUCUUCAGGGAAGCGAUUGACUGUCUUAUAAUGGUCUUACAAGUACGGAACUUUAUUACCUGCUAAUAAUCAGAGCACAUGAUGGCACAAUAGAAUAUACGAGUGAAGUUCUAAAUGCAAGGUUGUUCUUAUUCUGUGAGUGGCAAAACUCAUGCAGUGAGCAGAUAAAGCUGGCAGGAGGCAUUGGCGCCCUAAUGCUGGGCACUAACCACCUGCCCGGACUGCGAAUAUCUGUUGGGUCCUUUCUAUAUCUGGUCUAUUCUCGUGUUUGAUUAUAUCCUGGUGGCAAGAAUAGCAAAAUCAACUCUCCUUCCUAUCCCAUGUGGAGAGGCAUGAUUUGAGUCAGAGAGCAUUAUCCUCUCUGCGUUAUCCAACCCCAUGUCCCAUGAUGCACUUUGUAGACAAGCAAGUGUCCCUGGUGGAGAAUCCACAGCCACACAUCCUCAUUGGUUGCAAGGAUCAGUGUCCAAUAUCUACUGCCAUGAUCAUUCUCAGUUUUACAUCCACAGAGCUUCAUAGAAUUCUAACACCACAGGUCCAAGUAGAGGUUUUGGCCUCAGAGUGGGCUAGAUUCCACCUCUGACAGCAGCUGUGGGACUGUUUUUCCAUCUGUAAAAUGGAGACAAGAGUAUCACCUACCUCAUGGUGUUGGUGGGAUCGUUAAACAGAAUUCCGAUCAUGAAACCCUUAGCCUGCUCCCUGCAUAGGCUGCAUGCGCUCAGUGAGCUAUGGCUCUGUUUCAUGCUGACUUUACCAUCAUGUAAGCAGUUUUAAAAAUGCUAGAAGCUUUAGUCAUAGAAUUACCAUAUGAUACAGCCUACUGCAGAGUCCAGAGGCUGAGGCAGGAGAGUUACUUGAACCUGGGAGGCGGAGGUUGCAGUGAGCCAAGAUCGCGCCACUGCACUCCAGCCUGGGCAACAGAGUGAGAUUCUGUCUCAACACAAAAAAGAAGACAUGUGUCCCCAUCACAGUAUCAUACAGAGUGCUUCCACUGCCCUAAAAUACCCUGUGCUCUUCCUAUUCAUCCCUCUCUUCAACCCCAGCAACCACUGAUCCUUUUACCAUCUCCAUGGUUUUGCCUUUCCCAGAAUGUCAUAUUGUUGGAAUCAUACGCUAUGUAGCCUUUGCAAAUGGGCUUCUUUCACCGAGCAAUGUGCAUUGAAGGUGCCUCUAUGACUUUUCAAGGGUUGAUAGCUCAUUCCUUUUUAUUGCUAAAUAAUAUUCCAUUGUCUGAAUGUACCACAUUUUGUUUAUCCAUUCACCUACUAAAGGACAUCUUGGUUGCUUCCAAGUUUGGGCAAUUAUAAAUAAAACUGCUAUAAACAUUGUGUGCAGGUUUUUUUUUCUAGAUGUCAGUUUUUAACUCAUUUGGACUAUAGAGCACUAUUGCUGGAUCAUAUGAUACGUGUGUGUUUAGUUUUAUGAGAAACUGCCAAACUGUCUUCCAAAGUGGCUGCACCAUUUUGCAUUCCCACCGUCAAUGAAUGAGAGCUCCGGUUGUUCCACAUCCUCACCAGCAUUUGGUGUUGUCAUUGUUUUGGAUUUUAGCCAUUUCAUAGGUGUGUAGAGGUAGCUCAUUGUUUUAAUCUAAUAAACAUCUUAUUGAAGAAUAACACACAAGCAGAAAAUUUCAGAGAUACAAACGAACAGCUUUUUCAACCAUCACCCACUGGAUACAGUUCUGUAUCCAGCACCCAGGCCAAGAAACUGACACUAACGGUGCCCUGUGCCC